UACAGAGACUGCAAGCGUUUAUUCGGAUUCACUGGGCGUAAAGGGUGCGCAGGCGGCCGGGUGUGUCAGAUGUGAAAUCCCGAGGCUUAACCUCGGAACUGCGUCUGAAACUACUCGGCUAGAGUAUUGGAGAGGGUAACGGAAUUCACGGUGUAGCAGUGAAAUGCGUAGAUAUCGUGAGGAACACCAGAGGCGAAGGCGGUUACCUGGACAAUUACUGACGCUCAGGCACGAAAGCAUGGGGAGCAAAAGGG
rnacentral:rRNA from 1 species